rnacentral:rRNA from 1 species
CUACGUGCCAGCAGCCGCGGUAAUACGGAAGGUUCGGGCGUUAUCCGGAUUUAUUGGGUUUAAAGGGAGCGUAGGCCGGAGAUUAAGUGUGUUGUGAAAUGUAGACGCUCAACGUCUGACUUGCAGCGCAUACUGGUUUCCUUGAGUACGCACAACGUUGGCGGAAUUCGUCGUGUAGCGGUGAAAUGCUUAGAUAUGACGAAGAACUCCGAUUGCGAAGGCAGCUGACGGGAGCGCAACUGACGCUGAAGCUCGAAGGUGCGGGUAUCGAACAGGAUUAGAUACCCUGGUAGUCCGCACAGUAAACGAUGGAUGCCCGCUGUUGGUACCUGGUAUCAGCGGCUAAGCGAAAGCAUUAAGCAUCCCACCUGGGGAGUACGCCGGCAACGGUGAAACUCAAAGGAAUUGACGGGGGCCCGCACAAGCGGAGGAACAUGUGGUUUAAUUCGAUGAUACGCGAGGAACCUUACCCGGGCUUGAA